UACGGGGGGGGCAAGCGUUGUUCGGAGUUACUGGGCGUAAAGGGUGUGUAGGCGGUUGUUUAAGUUUGGUGUGAAAUCUCCCGGCUCAACUGGGAGGUGCGCCGAAUACUGAAUGACUAGAGUGCGGGAGAGGAAAGUGGAAUUCCUGGUGUAGCGGUGAAAUGCGCAGAUAUCAGGAAGAACACCGUGGCGAAAGCGGCUCUGCGGA
rnacentral:rRNA from 1 species